CCUAGAACUGCAGAUGGGCUGGCUACCUCCUUCCAUCCAUGCCUUUCUUGUGAAAAAUGCUUAUUCCACUUCCCUUUCACAGCAAAAAGAAUUUUCUCUUGGGACCUCAUCUAUAACACACCACCAAUCUCCAAUACACUUACCAUGUGACACUGCAUCUUAAUAUUGUAUCCAUGUGAGUCUCAUUUCUUGCCAGAUUACUAGAAGAGAAUAGUUUUAUAUCUAAAUUUUGAAUUUCCCCUACCAUGAAGUGCUUGGUAAUUGUCUAUUGAAUGACUGAAUGCCCUUUUCCUGAAAUACCUUUGUCUCAUGCUCUUUAGAUAUGUGAGUUUAUUAGCCACAACCUUAUCUGGCCAUCAUGUCUUCCCAGAGGUGGCUAGUGUCAGAGAGCUCUGGAGACCUGGAGUGAAAGGACUGAAUGGAGGAUGAUGGCUUAUGGCCAUUUUGGCCAUCAAAAUUGCUAUUAGGAUGAUGACAUCUUUCCAGCUGAUCCUUCUAUGGCAUAAAUUCAACUCUUCAACAUCCUGGAAGUCCUCUUGGGACACUCUUCACCUUAUCAGUGUACCUCCUCAAUCACAGUGCCCAGAACUCAACACAAAUACUCCAGGUGGGAUCUGAUAAAGGUAGAGUGAGUCCAUGCUGAAAGCUAUGUCUCUUUCUCUCUCCCUCUCUCUCUUCUCUCUCUCUCCCCCACCUCUCUCUCAAAAACCCUUACCUUCCAUAUUAGAAUCAAUACUGUGUAUUAGCUCCAAGGCAGAAGAGUGGUAAGGGCUAGGCAAUGGAGGUCAAGUGACUUGCCCAGGGUGACACAGCUAGGAAGUGUCUGAGGCCAGAUUCAAAUCCAGAGCCUCCCACUCCUGGCUUUCAAUCCACUGAGCCUCCUACCUGCCCCUUAUGCCUCUUAAUAGAGUGGAACAUCACAUUAGUUUUUGAUCAUAUUUCUGUGUCAUAUUGUUUUCUCAUGUGAAGCUUAUAGGCCACUCAGAUCUCCACAUCUCCAUUCCCAAAGUAGUCUGGAUUCUCAUCACCUCUUGCUUACAUUAUAGCAACAGUCCUUUAAUUAAUCUCUCUGCCUCUAGGGUUACCCUCUCCAAAUUUUCCCUUCAUUUAUUGGAAUGACCCUGUAGAGUAGGAUUCUCCUUUAUACCUUCUACUACCUUUAUCGUCUUCUGACCACACUUGUCGAUGAGGGUAUGAAGAAUUGGGUUAGUUGUGUGCUCUUUGGGUACUGAGUUAUAGGUUGAAUAUAUUUAUAGUGAAAGGGGGGCACAGAUCUUAAUUCGUGUAAUUUUUGGUAACAUCAUAGUGAGAAUGCUU
rnacentral:lncRNA from 1 species